CACAGACACUGGGAGACUAGGGGACACUGGGAGACAUGGGGACACUAAGACAUUAGGGGACACUAAGACACUAGGGACAUUGAGAGACAUGGCAACAGUGGCAGACAUGAGGACACUGAGAGACUAGGGGACACUGUGUCCCUAGUGUCCCCAUGUCUCCCAGCGCCCCCAAGUCUCCUAGCAUCUCCAA